GGAUGCGAUCAUACCAGCACUAAAGCACCGGAUCUCAUCAGAACUCCGAAGUUAAGCGUGCUUGGGCGAGAGUAGUACUAGGAUGGGUGACCUCCUGGGAAGUCCUCGUGUUGCAUCCCUCC
rnacentral:rRNA from 1 species